UACAGAGGUGGCAAGCUUUGUUCGGAAUUACUGGGCGUAAAGGGCGCGUAGGCGGCCUACUAAGUCAGACGUGAAAUCCCCCGGCUUAACCUGGGAACCGCGUCUGAUACUGGAAGGCUUGAGGAUGGGAGAGGGAUGUAGAAUUCCAGGUGUAGCGGUGAAAUGCGUAGAUAUCUGGAGGAAUACCGGUGGCGAAGGCGGCAUCCUGGACCAUUACUGACGCUGAGGCGCGAAAGCUAGGGGAGCAAACGGG
rnacentral:rRNA from 1 species